AGACCCGAAACCCGGUGAUCUAGCCAUGGGCAGGUUGAAGGUUGGGUAACACUAACUGGAGGACCGAACCGACUAAUGUUGAAAAAUUAGCGGAUGACCUGUGGCUGGGGGUGAAAGGCCAAUCAAACCGGGAGAUAGCUGGUUCUCCCCGAAAGCUAUUUAGGUAGCGCCUCGUGAAUUCAUCUCCGGGGGUAGAGCACUGUUUCGGCUAGGGGGCCAUCCCGGCUUACCAACCCGAUGCAAACUGCGAAUACCGGAGAAUGUUAUCACGGGAGACACACGGCGGGUGCUAACGUCCGUCGUGAAGAGGGAAACAACCCAGACCGCCAGCUAAGGUCCCAAAGUCAUGGUUAAGUGGGAAACGAUGUGGGAAGGCCCAGACAGCCAGGAUGUUGGCUUAGAAGCAGCCAUCAUUUAAAGAAAGCGUAAUAGCUCACUGGUCGAGUCGGCCUGCGCGGAAGAUGUAACGGGGCUAAACCAUGCACCGAAGCUGCGGCAGCGAACGUAUCACUUAAAGCGAUUCAGCGGGUUACGAUUGACGGAGCGAAGCGACGUCAAAGCGUAUACAAAGUCGAGUCGGUUUAAGGAUACGUUCGUUGGGUAGGGGAGCGUUCUGUAAGCCUGUGAAGGUGGCCUGUGAGGGUUGCUGGAGGUAUCAGAAGUGCGAAUGCUGACAUAAGUAACGAUAAAGCGGGUGAAAAGCCCGCUCGCCGGAAGACCAAGGGUUCCUGUCCAACGUUAAUCGGGGCAGGGUGAGUCGACCCCU
rnacentral:rRNA from 1 species